UACGUAGGGGGCGAGCGUUGUCCGGAGUUACUGGGCGUAAAGCGCACGCAGGCGGUCUGCUAAGUUUGGAGUGACAGUUGGUGGCUUAACUGCCAAAGUGCUUCGAAAACUGACAGACUUGAGGGCUUCAGAGGGACACGGAAUUCCGGGUGGAGUGGUGAAAUGCGUAGAUAUCAGGAGGAAUACCUAUGGCGAAAGCGGCGCACUGGACCACAACUGACGCUGAGGCGCGAAAGCUAGGGGAGCAAACAGG
rnacentral:rRNA from 1 species